GGGGGGGGGGGGGGGGGGGGGGGGGGGGGGGGGGGGGGGGGGGGGGGGGGGGGGGGGGGGGGGGGGGGGGGGGGGGGGGGGGGGGGGCUUCCCCACCUCAGAGUUAAUGACUUCUUGCCUGCCGAUGCCAAGCCUGUUGGAGCCAGCUUGGAGAUCGCAGGGCCUGUGAGCGAUCAGCAUGACGGAAUUUACCUGUGCCAGGCUUGGAAUGGACUUGGGACAAUGAAUGCAUCUGUGACCGUUUCCAUUUUAGACAGACCAGAGGUCACUGAGGGAAAGAAUGCAUCUACAGACAGACCAGGGGUCACUGAGGGAAGGACUGCGACGGAUUUGGUCGGAGUUAUCGGGAUGCUUCCGAUAAUCGUCUUGAUUGUUGCAUUUUUGCUUUGCUGUUGGUGUCGCAAAAGGCGAACCCCAAAGGCAGGUGAAUCCCUGGCUCCUGCUGGCACAAGGUCGUUCCACGACAUCCCUCCGUCAGCGAAUCAGUUUCAGAUGACACGUGUCAGAAGUGGGGAAUUGAUUCAAGAAAAAGUUGAAGAUGUUACAGAGGUUAAUAAAAAGACUCGUACCUACAGAAAGAGACUACAGGCCCUGAAUCUUCGUCAUGGGCCGCUGGGAAAAGCUGAUGACGUAAUGGACAAAGACAAUACCUACAAAACCACUACAGAAGAUGUCUGCGGCCGUCCACACUCCGGACAGAACUCGUACAGGAGAAGCUCACACACCGGAAUGGAUAUCAACAGUCCAUAUGCCCACCACAUGCGAGCAACCUCGUUAGAACUGUUUAAUUUCCUUCACAGGACAACCCCAAUUUAACGUGACAACUGUUACAAUAAUCUCUUAUAUACUAAAGACAACUGGGGAGGGUGAUGAACCCUCGUGCAAACGUUUUUACCAAUCCCAGAUGGUCGCUUUCUGAUGACACACAAACAGAACAUUUUCAAGGACGUGGUAUUUCCUUCGUGGCAAACAACAGAUGUGUUAUCCAGUCAAGACUCAUUGUUUUCAGAAAAUUCCUGUGGUUUGUCCUCGAGCACUUUCGAGCAUGUUACACUUGUAUUGCUUCUCAACCCCACCUCCCCCCC
rnacentral:lncRNA from 1 species